CCUGGUGAUUAUGGCGCAGAUGUACCACCCGAUCCCAUUCCGAACUCGAACGUGAAGCUCUGUUGCGCUGAUGGUACUGCAUCUUAAGGUGUGGGAGAGUAAGUCGUUGCCAGGC
rnacentral:rRNA from 1 species